AAUGAACGCUGGCGGCGUGCUUAACACAUGCAAGUCGAACGAGAAAGCCUUGGCUUGCCAGGGCGAGUAAAGUGGCGCACGGGUGAGUAACGCGUGGGUAAUCUACCCUUGAAUCGGGGAUAACCCUUCGAAAGGGGGGCUAAGACCGGAUGAUAUCGGAUUUACUUAGGUGGAUUCGAUCAAAUAUGGCCUCUACAUGUAAGCUAUAGUUUGGGGAUGAGCCCGCGUACCAUUAGCUAGUUGGUAGGGUAACGGCCUACCAAGGCAACGAUGGUUAGCUGGUCUGAGAGGAUGAUCAGCCACACUGGAACUGACACACGGUCCAGACUCCUACGGGAGGCAGCAGUGAGGAAUUUUGCGCAAUGGGGGCAACCCUGACGCAGCAACGCCGCGUGAGUGAUGAAGGCUUUCGGGUCGUAAAGCUCUGUC
rnacentral:rRNA from 1 species